rnacentral:rRNA from 1 species
AGAGUUUGAUCCUGGCUCAGAUUGAACGCUGGCGGCAGGCCUAACACAUGCAAGUCGAGCGGUAGAGAGAAGCUUGCUUCUCUUGAGAGCGGCGGACGGGUGAGUAAUGCCUAGGAAUCUGCCUGGUAGUGGGGGAUAACGUUCGGAAACGGACGCUAAUACCGCAUACGUCCUACGGGAGAAAGCAGGGGACCUUCGGGCCUUGCGCUAUCAGAUGAGCCUAGGUCGGAUUAGCUAGUUGGUGAGGUAAUGGCUCACCAAGGCGACGAUCCGUAACUGGUCUGAGAGGAUGAUCAGUCACACUGGAACUGAGACACGGUCCAGACUCCUACGGGAGGCAGCAGUGGGGAAUAUUGGACAAUGGGCGAAAGCCUGAUCCAGCCAUGCCGCGUGUGUGAAGAAGGUCUUCGGAUUGUAAAGCACUUUAAGUUGGGAGGAAGGGUUGUAGAUUAAUACUCUGCAAUUUUGACGUUACCGACAGAAUAAGCACCGGCUAACUCUGUGCCAGCAGCCGCGGUAAUACAGAGGGUGCAAGCGUUAAUCGGAAUUACUGGGCGUAAAGCGCGCGUAGGUGGUUUGUUAAGUUGGAUGUGAAAUCCCCGGGCUCAACCUGGGAACUGCAUUCAAAACUGACUGACUAGAGUAUGGUAGAGGGUGGUGGAAUUUCCUGUGUAGCGGUGAAAUGCGUAGAUAUAGGAAGGAACACCAGUGGCGAAGGCGACCACCUGGACUAAUACUGACACUGAGGUGCGAAAGCGUGGGGAGCAAACAGGAUUAGAUACCCUGGUAGUCCACGCCGUAAACGAUGUCAACUAGCCGUUGGAAGCCUUGAGCUUUUAGUGGCGCAGCUAACGCAUUAAGUUGACCGCCUGGGGAGUACGGCCGCAAGGUUAAAACUCAAAUGAAUUGACGGGGGCCCGCACAAGCGGUGGAGCAUGUGGUUUAAUUCGAAGCAACGCGAAGAACCUUACCAGGCCUUGACAUCCAAUGAACUUUCUAGAGAUAGAUUGGUGCCUUCGGGAACAUUGAGACAGGUGCUGCAUGGCUGUCGUCAGCUCGUGUCGUGAGACGUUGGGUUAAGUCCCGUAACGAGCGCAACCCUUGUCCUUAGUUACCAGCGCGUAAUGGUGGGCACUCUAAGGAGACUGCCGGUGACAAACCGGAGGAAGGUGGGGAUGACGUCAAGUCAUCAUGGCCCUUACGGCCUGGGCUACACACGUGCUACAAUGGUCGGUACAGAGGGUUGCCAAGCCGCGAGGUGGAGCUAAUCCCAUAAAACCGAUCGUAGUCCGGAUCGCAGUCUGCAACUCGACUGCGUGAAGUCGGAAUCGCUAGUAAUCGCGAAUCAGAAUGUCGCGGUGAAUACGUUCCCGGGCCUUGUACACACCGCCCGUCACACCAUGGGAGUGGGUUGCACCAGAAGUAGCUAGUCUAACCUUCGGGAGGACGGUUACCACGGUGUGAUUCAUGACUGGGGUGAAGUCGUAACAAGGUAACC